UUUUGGAAAUGAAAUGACAGAGUCUUUCUAAUGAGUUCCGAGAGGAAAAGACUGCCUAUGGAGGAGUAAGGUGAUCACUAGUACCAUCCUGGAGCUUUCAAAGAAAAGGAGCUACAACAUAGUCUGGGUUGACUUUGGGGAGCACAUCUCCAGCACUUGUGGUGGUGACUCAGUGCCGCGGACCAGCACAGCAGUAGACGAUGAGGCCACCUCAGGGUUGAGAGAAGCGUGCAGGGUGGUCAGGGCGUCGGCGAAAGAAAUGACAAACAGACACACUUCAAGAGUGAAAAUCUGAGUGUAAUUUUAUUUGAGUUGUGACCAGUAUAUAUAUGUUUUCCAAAAGCACAGGAAUGAAUAUCAAUGAAAUUAGCUUGCUCAUGGGCUCAGUCAAUCAUCAUCAGGGAGGUGAUCUACAUAACAAGCAAUGACCAUUAUAGAAGAAGGAAGGAAGUUUAGAAAGACAAAUAAGGGAUUAAAGUUUGUAGUUCUAGAAAGACUGGAUAAGAUUUUUAGCAUUCUUGUAGUGGUUCUUGGUGGUCGUUAUCUAUUGAUAAGCUUCUGCCUUUUCAGGGAACUUCCGCUGCACUUCCUCUGCUUCAGACUGUUCACCCCCGCGCGCUGGUUGCCCAGCCGGAUCUAGGGACCGUGGCGAAAGCCAUUCCUAAAGAUCACUGCGGGGGGAGGUGCAGCAGGUAGGGUUUUGCUGUUCU